GAACGCUGGCGGCGUGCUUACACAUGCAAGUCGAGUGCGCGUCCGUAGCAAUACGGAUGGCGCACGGCGCACGGGUGCGUAACACGUGGGCAAUCUGCCCUCAGAUGGGGGAUAACCCGCCGAAAGGCGGGCUAAUACCGCAUGACAUUCCGGGGACUCCGGUCCCUGGACUCAAAGGCCGCAAGGCCGUCAGAGGAGGAGCCCGCGCCCGAUUAGCUAGUUGGUGAGGUAACGGCUCACCAAGGCUUUGAUCGGUAGCCGGUCUGAGAGGAUGGCCGGCCACACUGGAACUGAGACACGGUCCAGACUCCUACGGGAGGCAGCAGUGGGGAAUAUUGCGCAAUGGGCGAAAGCCUGACGCAGCGACGCCGCGUGGGGGAUGAAGCUUCUCGGAGUGUAAACCCCUUUCGACCCGGACGAAUGACCCGCAAGGGUUUGACGGUACGGGUAUAAGAAGCCCCGGCUAACUACGUGCCAGCAGCCGCGGUAAUACGUAGGGGGCCAGCGUUGCUCGGAAUUACUGGGCGUAAAGGGUUCGUAGGUGGUGCGGCAAGUUGGAAGUGAAAUCUCCGGGCUUAACUCGGAGGCUGCUUUCAAAACUGGCGCGCUCGAGUGCGGGAGAGGCCAGUGGAAUUGCAGGUG
rnacentral:rRNA from 1 species